GUAGGUGGCAAGCGUUGUCCGGGAAUUAUUGGGGCGUAAAGCGCGCGCAGGCGGUUCUUUAAGUCUGAUGUGAAAGCCCACGGGCUCAACCGUGGAGGGUCAUUGGAAACUGGAGAACUUGAGUACAGAAGAGGAAGGCGGAACUCCACGUGUAGCGGUGAAAUGCGUAGAGAUGUGGAGGAACACCAGUGGCGAAGGCGGCUUUCUGGUCUGUAACUGACGCUGAGGCGCGAAAGCGUGGGGAGCAAACAGGAUUAGAUACCCUGGUAGUCCACGCCGUAAACGAUGAGUGCUAAGUGUUAGGGGGUUUCCGCCCCUUAGUGCUGCAGCUAACGCAUUAAGCACUCCGCCUGGGGAGUACGGCCGCAAAGGCUGA
rnacentral:rRNA from 1 species